GGUGUGGGCUGCGCGACAGAGCGGGACGGAUGGGGCGCGCUUCCUGGAGCACCUGCGGGUGAUGCAUGCGGUGCCGUUCUGGUAGGAUCCGCGGCGGCCCUACUCUGCGGCGAUGUCGCAGCUGGAUCCGCAUCGACGCGUCACUAUCUGCAACGACACUACUCCGGUAAGCCACUACCUAUGCCUGACAAAUCGAUUCAACGCGGGCUGCUCAGAUCCGCCCCCUCCUCGUCUUCUUAAUCACUGAACUCCUUCUCUCUUCUCUCUGUGCCGCGGCACCAUGAGCAAACCUCACAUGCACGGCGAGGAUGAUGACUGUUUGCCAACGCCGCCGCCCUCGGCAAGGAGGGAUGACAUGCACAAGCACUAAUCACGGAUCCACGAUGGCGCUCCUCUCCAGCGAUGUAGCAGGUGGAUCCGAGGCGACGCAUCCCGAUCUGCAACGCAACAGCUCCGCAACUGGCAUCUCAUGGACUGUUUGAUGUAUAUGUCAAGGCGAUGGGUGACACACACAUUGAUGAUCAUCACUCAAAUGAGGAUAUUGCUUUAGCAAUUGGAACGGCAUUACUUCAAGCACUUGGUGACAGAAAAGGGAUUAACAGGUUUGGGCAUUUUACAACACCACUUGAUGAGGCAGCAGUUGAGGAUAUACUGGGUCUAUAUGGUCGACCUCAUUUGAGCUGCGGCUUAAGUAUUCCUACCGAGAGAGUUGGC